UACGUAGGGACCAAGCGUUGUUCGGAUUUACUGGGCGUAAAGGGCGCGUAGGCGGCGUGACAAGUCACUUGUGAAAUCUCUGAGCUUAACUCAGAACGGCCAAGUGAAACUGUUGUGCUAGAGUGCAGAAGGGGCAAUCGGAAUUCUUGGUGUAGCGGUGAAGUGCGUAGAUAUCAAGAGGAACACCUGAGGUGAAGACGGGUUGCUGGGCUGACACUGACGCUGAGGCGCGAAAGCCAGGGGAGCAAACGGG
rnacentral:rRNA from 1 species